UACAGAGGGUGCAAGCGUUAAUCGGAAUUACUGGGCGUAAAGCGUGCGUAGACGGUUACAUAAGUCGGGUGUGAAAGCCCCGGGCUCAACCUGGGAAUUGCAUUCGAGACUGCGUAGCUAGGGUGCGGAAGAGGGAAGCGGAAUUUCCGGUGUAGCGGUGAAAUGCGUAGAUAUUAGGAAGAACACCAGUGGCGAAGGCGGACUCACUGGCCCGGUACUGACGCUGAGGCGGCGGAAAAGCGUGGGGAGCAAACAGGG
rnacentral:rRNA from 1 species